ensembl:lncRNA LINC02362 long intergenic non-protein coding RNA 2362
AGUAGAGGAAGACACUCCAGAAGGAGUUGAGAAUGGGUGCUGAGUGCCUCUUCAGGAUGUCUGUCACACCUCAGGAAACCUGCCAGGAAUACCAAAGGGAGUGAAAAAUCCAAGGUUGGGAAGCCCUGGGACAUUGAAGUUACAACUGGACGAUAAAAACAGAGUUUUUUCCUUGUGACGUGACCACUGUGAUGUAAAGCUAGACUGGUUUAUCAAAUAAGGGACUGUGGCUAUAUCGCUGACCUCAAGAAAACCUGCGGACAAAAUCUGCUAAAGAAGUAUCAGCAUCUAUUUCAAAAGUUAGCCAUUAUUUUAAGAAGACUGUGCUGGAAGACGGGUAUUUAACACAAACAGAUGCAAAAGAUACGGGGUUUCACCGUGUUGACCAGACUGAUUUUGAACUUCUGGGCUCAAUCAGUCCACCUGCCUCGGCCUCCCAAAGUGCUGAGAUUAUAGGUGUGAGCCCCUGCGCCUGGCCAGGGAUGCCGUUCUUCACUCUCCAAUUGAGCAGCCAUUAUAUAUCAGGCACUAUAGGAGUUCCUGGAGGAUACUGGUCUGAAGUUAGCAUGAUCUUGACUCAAGAAACUUAUAGUCCUGAUAAGAACUUCCACCAGAAUUCCAGAUAAGGCAGCACAGGCCUUGCUGUUUGCCCAUGCCCAUGCGGUCAGCUCUCUUGGGUACCGUGGCAUGCAGAUGCAGACACUCACCCAAGACACCCUGUAGUGCUGAUUACUGGCUGAAGACACUGAAUAUCUGAUAUAGUUUGGAUGUUUGACCCCUCCAAAUCUCAUGUUGAAACUAGAUUCCCAGUGUUGGAGGUGGGGCCCGGUGGGAGGUGUUUGGAUUGUGGGAUUGGAUCCCUUAUGGCCAUCUUGGUGCCAUCCUUGUGGUAAUGAGCAAGUUCUUUAUCUACUAGUUCCUGAGCGAUCUGGUUGCUAAAAAGAGUCUAGCAGCAUCAUCCGCUCCCUCUCCUCCUCUCUUACCAUGUGAUAUGCACACACCGGCUACCCUUCACCUACUGCUCCAGCACCACGCUUCAUGUACAGCCUGUAGAACUCUGAGCCAAAUAAACCUCUUUUCUUUAUAAA